rfam:Salmo salar isolate Sally breed double haploid chromosome ssa22, whole genome shotgun sequence.
UGUAUUCACUACUGUAAGUUGCUCUGGAUAAGAGCGUCUGCUAAAAUGACUAAAA